rnacentral:lncRNA from 1 species
UUUAUUUAAAUAAAAUCAUAAAUUACAAAUAAUAUUUUGUUUUCUCUUCAUAUAGUGAUUUACACUAUUGAAUUUCAAAAGCGUGGAUUGCCUCAUGCACAUAUCUUACUUUUUCUCCAUGAUAAAUUUCCAAAUGUUGGAGACAUUGAUGCGAUUAUUUCAGCUGAAUUGCCUGAUAAAUUACUUGAUCCGGAUUAUUAUGUGGUUGUUACAAACUUCAUGAUGCAUGGGCCAUGUGGUUCAAUAAGGAAAUCAUCCCCUUGCAUGCAAAAAGGCAAAUGUACAAAGCACUUUCCAAAAAGAUUUUUACCAUCUACCUCACUUGAUGAAGAAGGAUAUCCUUUAUAUCGAAGAAGAGAUGAUGGUAGAUCUACACAGAGAUCAGGUAUUGAUUUAGAUAAUCGAUAUGUUGUACCACAUAAUAAUUUUUUGCUAAUGAAAUAUGGGGCACAUAUUAAUGUUGAAUGGUGCAAUCAAUCAAGAUCGAUUAAAUACUUAUUUAAGUAUGUUAAUAAAGGUCAUGAUCGAGUCACAGUAGCUUUUUGCGAUAGUGUUAAUUCUUCAGAUUCAAAGGUUGUUGAUGAAAUAAAAAUGUAUUGUGAUUGUCGCUAUAUAUCAUCCUGUGAAGCAGCUUGGAGAAUUUUCAAAUUCCCAAUCAACCAUAGAGAACCUUUUGUAGAAAGGUUAUCUUUUCAUCUACCAGACAAUCAAAAUGUCAUAUUUUCAGAUGAUGAUCCAAUUGAUGUUGUUAUCAAUAAACCAACAGUGAAGGAAUCAAUGUUUUUAAGAUGGUUGGAAGCUAAUAAGGAAUUUCCUGAAGCAAGACAUCUAACGUAUGCAGAAUUUCCUUUAAAGUUUGUUUGGAAGCAACAAUCUAAGAGAUGGGAAAAAAGGAAAACUUCAGCAUUUUCUAUUGGAAGAAUUUUCUUUGUUCCACCAGGAUCAGGUGAGCAAUAUUACCUUAGAUUGCUAUUGAAUGUUGUUAAAGGUCCAACUUCUUAUGAGGAAAUCAGAAGAAUAAAUGAUAUUUAUCAUGAGACCUUUAGAGAUGCAUGUUAUGCUCUAGGAUUAUUAGAUGAUGACAAAGAAUAUGUUGAUGCUAUAGUAGAAGCAAGUCAAUGGGGAAUGCCAUCAUAUCUACGACAAUUAUUUGCUAUGCUACUUAUAUCUAAUUCAAUGUCACGUCCGGAGAUAGUGUGGCAAUCAACUUGGCACUUACUAUCAGAAGAUAUCGUUUUUGAAGAAAGAAGAAUAUUAGAUAACCCAGGUAUUUAAUAAUGUUUACACUUGACACUAAUCAUAUAUAAUCUUUUUUUUUUCUUUUUCUUAUUAUUUAUUAUUAUUUUACUUUUAAAAUUUUUUAAUAAUUAGUAAAUUAGAAUUAGAUUAUUUUAUUAAAUUAGUAUAUGUUUAUAUGUUUUUUCAGAAGUUUAUCUAUCUGAAGCAGAUUUGAAGAAUCGUUGCUUGCAAAAGAUUGAAACCUUUUUAAAAGGUUGUGGAAGGAGUUUUCAAGAUUUUUCAACAAUGCCAUUACCUGUCUAUAAUGAGGAUGAGGUCGAUUAUAGCAACAGAUUAAUUCGAGAUGAAAUGCGUUACAAUAAAGGUGCUUUAACUGAUGAACAUCAAGAAUUGCUACAAAAUUUAACUGAUGAACAUAAAGCAGUUUACAAAAAGAUUAUGUCAGCAGUUAUUACAAAUAGUGGUGGAUUUUUCUUUUUAUACGGCUUUGGAGGUACAGGAAAAACUUUUAUUUGGAGGACAUUAUCAGCAGCUAUACGAUCUAAAGGAGAUAUUGUUUUGACAGUAGCUUCUAGCGGGAUUGCAUCUCUAUUGUUGCCUGGUGGUAGAACAUCACAUUCAAGAUUUGUUAUCCCUUUGAAUAUAAAUGAAGAUUCAACAUGUAAUAUAAAGCAAGGUACUCCUUUAGCAAAUUUGAUAGUCAAGGCAAAGUUGAUUAUUUGGGAUGAGGCUCCUAUGAUGCAUAAAUAUUGUUUUGAAGCUUUGGAUAAAACUUUAAGAGAUAUUAUUAGCUAUAAAGAUGCAUCUAAGGCAGAAUUACCAUUUGGAGGAAAAACAGUUGUUCUUGGAGGUGACUUUAGACAAAUUUUACCCGUUAUUCCAAAAGGUACUAGACAAGAUAUUGUUAAUGCAAUUGUAAAUUCAUCAUAUUUAUGGCCACAAUGUCAACUAUUGACUCUAACAAAGAAUGUGAGGUUACAAAGCAAUGCAAACGAUACACAUUUGGAAGAAUUGAGAGAUUUUUCUAAUUGGAUAUUGAAAGUUGGGGAUGGUAGCAUUGGAAGUUCAAUUGAUGGAAUAGACAAAGUUUUAAUACCUAAUGAUCUUCUAAUAAAUGAGUAUAUUGAUCCUAUAGCAUCUAUUGUUGAAAGUAUUUAUCCAGAUUUCAUCACUAAUUGCAAUGAUCCAGAGUACCUUCAACAAAGAGCCAUUCUUGCUCCAACUCUUGAUAUGGUUGAAUCGAUAAAUCAGUAUAUGAUUACUCUUAAUCAUAAUCCUGAGAAAUCAUAUUUAAGUUCUGAUAAAAUUUGCAGGUCUGAUCAUACUUAUUCAGCUUUGGAACAUGUACAUACCCCUGAAUUUUUGAACAAUAUUAAAUGUUCUGGCGUUCCAAAUCAUUCAAUCACUUUAAAGGUUGGGGUUCCAGUGAUGUUACUAAGAAAUAUCGAUCAGUCAGCGGGAUUAUGUAAUGGAACUAGAUUGAUUGUUACUAAACUUGGAAAUCAAGUAAUUGAAGCAAAGGUUUUAUCUGGACAGAUGGUUGGCCGGAAGGUAUUUAUUCCAAGAAUGACUUUAACACCUUCAGAUUAUAGAAUUCCUUUUAAGUUUCAAAGAAGACAGUUUCCUAUAACUGUAUCAUUUGCUAUGACAAUCAAUAAGAGUCAAGGACAGUCUUUAUCUCAUGUGGGCUUAUUUCUGAAGAAGCCAGUGUUUACGCAUGGACAUUUAUAUGUUGCUCUUUCCAAAGUGACAAAUAGAAAGGGAUUAAAAAUACUUACUUACGAUGAAGAUGGGCAAAUAAGUAAUGAAGCCACAAAUGUAGUAUAUAAAGAAGUACUCCAAGACUUAUUUGACAUACAUUGUAUUUUUUAACUUUUAUAUAUAUACUACAAUUUUUGUUGUGUAUGUUACAAUAACUUUUAUAUUAACUGUUAUAUAUGUUUUAGGUUUCAUUAAUAAUGUAAUUUAACUUAGUAAGUUAACAUUAAGUAGGUACACAUUAAUAAAAAAAGACAAAGAAAGUCCAAAUUACUUUGAAAUAUGCAAUAGUCGAUAUGUACUAACCUUAAUUAGCUAAUUAUAAUCACUGCUAUUUUCCAUCGAUACACUAGCAGAAAAAAAAUCUUCCCAUUAUCAACUUCUCCGCCAUCUACAAUACACUUAUUAAAAAGCAAAUAUGAAAAUAUAUUAGGCAAUUUUUUUCAGUUAGAAUGCAUUAAGACAGAAAUUGUAUUAUGAAACAUUGCUCAAAAUAGUUGUAUAUAUAUAAAUUAUCAUAAACUACACAAAUCUAUAUAUUAAUACUACUAUUAAACAUUAAUAAUAAAUACAACUUCAUAGUUAUCAGAUAGUUUUAAAUACGAGUACAGAUAGAUUAUAAGACUUCACACAUUUACAAUCUUUACUAUUUUUUUAACUUUACUCAUUUAUCUAAAAAGUAAAAGUCACAAGUUCCUAUAUUUUAAGGUCAUUUUAAACAAAUUAUGAUUUGGAAACCAAGAAAAUGAUAACUUUUUCUUAUAAUAUAUAAUAAACUGUGUCUUGAAAAUUCACAUUAAAAAUUUUCAAGUACAAUUUACUCCGGCUUGCUUGGAAAACUGUAACUCAGAUUAUAUAUACAAAAUCUCUGAAUCACCAAACAAGAUACCAAAAUCUUUAUCAACAUAAGCUUAUUAUAGCUUUGCAAUAACAUGCAUUUACUACUUUAUAAUUUAAAUUAAAGUUAAACUAUUAGCCGUAUCUGACCAUCCCAAAUAGAUAUGAAGGAGACAUAACCUGAUAAAUCUCAUUAAAAUUAAUCCAAAACAAGAACUACUUCAUGCUAAUAUAUUCUUCAAUUGAAGUUUUCAUUAUGAAGGAUCAAUAUAAAAAAAUGUCAAAAAUUUAACUCACCAUUUCACAGUACAUUGAAUUUUUGUCGGAACGAUACUAGAUCUGAAAACAACUCCUAUCAAAUGUUUUAUGCAAUAUAUAUUAAUCUUAACCUGCUUGAAGAAAGUCAUUUUUAUGCUAUGUUAUCAUUUGCAUGUUCAAAUGUUGAAAUUCUAAAAUUAACUUUACCAUAUAUUUGCAGAAGACAUUCAUAGUAGAAAAGACAAUAGAAGAUUUACUAAAGAGAUGAAAGAAAUAGCACUCACAACAUUGACAAAUCACUCAGAAACUUAGCGAAGAUCCACACUCGGAAGAGGUACCUCACCUUUCAAAUCUGGAAAAUUUUGUUCAUAUUUUGGUCUCUUUCCAGAGAGAUCCAUUUUGUUUGUUUUUUACGUUUUUCCCUUUUUACUUUCCAAUUACUUUUGGAUUUUGGUGGGUUGUCCAAAAGUCUAUUUGAUUUUACUUUUUUCCAAUUCACUUAGAUUGACCAUAUUUUAAUAAAACUAAUAAAUACAUAUACA